CGAUUCUGGCUCAGGAUGAACGCUGGCGGCGUGCUUAACACAUGCAAGUCGAACGGAGUAUAUUUAAAAGCUUGCUUUGUUAUACUUAGUGGCGGACGGGUGAGUAACGCGUGGGUAACCUGCCUUAUACCGGGGGACAACAGUUGGAAACGACUGCUAAUACCGCAUAAGCGCACAGUCUCGCAUGAGACAGUGUAGAAAAACUCCGGUGGUAUAAGAUGGACCCGCGUCUGAUUAGCCAGUUGGCGGUGUAACGGACCACCAAAGCGACGAUCAGUAGCCGGCCUGAGAGGGUGAACGGCCACAUUGGGACUGAGACACGGCCCAAACUCCUACGGGAGGCUGCAGUGGGGAAUAUUGCACAAUGGAGGAAACUCUGAAUGCAGCGACGCCGCGUGAGUGAAGAAGUUAUUUCGGUAUGUAAAGCUCUAUCAGCAAGGAAAAGAAAAUGACGGUACCUGACUAAGAACGCCCCGGCUAACUACGUGCCAGCCGCGGC
rnacentral:rRNA from 1 species